AAACCUCCUCCGUUACACGUGUGAGACAGCUGUUCUUCAUAUCAAACAUACAGAGAAACAUCCGUACGGACACAAUGUAGGUAAUCGCCCGAAAUGAUAACAGAACGAAUGUCUGUCUCGGGGAUGCUGUGCGUUGCAUAUUUUGUCAUUCCAAUAACAGCUGCCCCUUGCACGGAUCAACAACACUGUUCAGAGUGUCACGACAAGACCGGACAUUUGCGUCACUGAUUGUGAAGCUGAAAGGUAUUAUGAUUAGAAGUGCAGCUCAGAGCUGCAGCAAUGGA